UGGAAGUAAAAAAUCGUAACAAGGUCUCCGUUGGUGAACCAGCGGAGGGAUCAUUGCUGGAACGCGCCCCAGGCGCACCCAGAAACCCUUUGUGAACUUAUACCUUACUGUUGCCUCGGCGCAUGCCGGCCCCCCCGGGGGCCCCUCGGAGGCGAGGAGCAGGCACGCCGGCGGCCAAGUUAACUCUUGAUUUCACACUGAAACUCUGAGAAGAAAACACAAAUGAAUCAAAACUUUCAACAACGGAUCUCUUGGUUCUGGCAUCGAUGAAGAACGCAGCGAAAUGCGAUAAGUAAUGUGAAUUGCAGAAUUCAGUGAAUCAUCGAAUCUUUGAACGCACAUUGCGCCCUCUGGUAUUCCGGAGGGCAUGCCUGUUCGAGCGUCAUUUCAACCCUCAAGCACUGCUUGGUGUUGGGGCACUGCUUUCUACCCGAGAGCAGGCCCUGAAAUCCAGUGGCGAGCUCGCCAGGACCCCGAGCGCAGUAGUUAAACCCUCGCUCCGGAAGGCCCUGGCGGUGCCCUGCCGUUAAACCCCCAACUCUUGAAAAUUUGACCUCGGAUCAGGUAGGAAUACCCGCUGAACUUAAGCAUAUCAAAAUCCGGAAAGGAA
rnacentral:rRNA from 1 species